rnacentral:rRNA from 1 species
GAUAGAUAUUAAUUUAAAAUAUUUAAUCUAAGAAUAUAAGGGUAGAGCUUUAUCAUUCAAUAAUAAAUGAAAUAUAAGUUAAUAAGUAUUUAUUUUGAUAAUUAGGUUUUUUAGUGGCCAUAUUUUUAAAGUGUUUUAACUAAUACAAUUGAAUAAUUUAUUUAUUAGAUUUUAUUAAAUUAAUAAUAUGUUUUUUAAAAUGGAUAAAUAUUAGAAAUAAUGAAAAUAUUAGUAGAAUUAAUAUAUGAGAAAAAAGAAAAGUAUUAAAAGUAAAAUAUGAAAAUAGUUAAAGAAAAAAAUAGAGGAACUCGGCAAAUAAGGUUCUUGCCUGUUUAACAAAAACAUGUCUCUAUGAAGUUAUAUGAAGUCUGACCUGCCCAUUGAAAUUUAUUAAAAGGCCGCGGUAUAUUAACUGUGCAAAGGUAGCAUAAUUAGUAGUUUUUUAAUUGAAGGCUUGUAUGAAAGGUUGGACAAGGGAUAAGCUGUCUUUAUUUUUAUUUUUGAAUUUGUCUUUUAAGUGAAAAGACUUAAAUAAGUUUAAGGGACGAUAAGACCCUAUAAAUCUUUAUAUUAGUUUAAUUUUAUUUUAAAUUUUAAUGUUUAAAAGAGUAAAAUUAAUAUAGUAUUGUAUUGGGGUGAUAGGAAUAAUUAGUAAACUGUUCGAAAGUAAAAACAAAAAUAUUUGAUAAUAAUUAGUAGAUCCUUAGUGGAGAUUACAAGUUUAAGUUACUUUAGGGAUAACAGCGUUAUUUUUUUUGAGAGUUCUAAUCGAAAAAGAAGUUUGCGACCUCGAUGUUGAAUUAAAAUUUCUUUGUGGUGUAGUAGUUACAAAAGAGAGUCUGUUCGACUUUUAAAAUUUU